GAUGAAGAACGUAGCGAAAUGCGAUAAGUAAUGUGAAUUGCAGAAUUCAGUGAAUCAUCGAAUCUUUGAACGCACAUUGCGCCCCUUGGUAUUCCGAGGGGCAUGCCUGUUCGAGCGUCAUUAUAACCCCUCAAGCUCAGCUUGGUGUUGGGGCCUGCUGCACUGGCAGCCCUUAAAAUCAGUGGCGGCGCCAUCUGGCUCUAAGCGUAGUAAUUCUUCUCGCUAUGGAGUCCUGGUGGAUGCUUGCCAUCAACCCCCAAUUUCAAUGGUUGACCUCGGAUCAGGUAGGGAUACCCGCUGAACUUAAGCAUAUCAAUAAGCGGAGGA
rnacentral:misc_RNA from 1 species